GGUUAAGUGACUAAGCGUACACGGUGGAUGCCUGGGCAGUCAGAGGCGAUGAAGGACGUACUAACUUGCGAUAAGCGCAGAUAAGGCAGUAAGAGCCGUUUGAGUCUGCGAUUUCCGAAUGGGGAAACCCAACUGCAUAAGCAGUUACUGUUAACUGAAUACAUAGGUUAACAGAGCAAACCGGGGGAACUGAAACAUCUAAGUACCCCGAGGAGAAGAAAUCAACCGAGAUUCCGGUAGUAGCGGCGAGCGAACCUGGAUUAGCCCUUAAGCACUCGGUGAAGUAGGUGAACAAGCUGGAAAGCUUGGCGAUACAGGGUGAUAGCCCCGUAACCGACGCUUCAUCGAGCGUGAAAUCGAGUAGGGCGGGACACGUGAUAUCCUGUCUGAAUAUGGGGGGACCAUCCUCCAAGGCUAAAUACUCCUGACUGACCGAUAGUGAACCAGUACCGUGAGGGAAAGGCGAAAAGAACCCCUGUGAGGGGAGUGAAAUAGAACCUGAAACCGUGUACGUACAAGCAGUAGGAGCACCUUCGUGGUGUGACUGCGUACCUUUUGUAUAAUGGGUCAGCGACUUAUAUUCAGUGGCAAGGUUAACCGUAUAGGGGAGCCGUAGCGAAAGCGAGUCUUAACUGGGCGCUCAGUCUCUGGAUAUAGACCCGAAACCGGGUGAUCUAGCCAUGGGCAGGUUGAAGGUUGAGUAACAUCAACUGGAGGACCGAACCGACUAAUGUUGAAAAAUUAGCGGAUGACUUGUGGCUAGGGGUGAAAGGCCAAUCAAACUCGGAGAUAGCUGGUUCUCCCCGAAAGCUAUUUAGGUAGCGCCUCGGACGAAUACUACUGGGGGUAGAGCACUGUUAAGGCUAGGGGGUCAUCCCGACUUACCAACCCUUUGCAAACUCCGAAUACCAGUAAGUACUAUCCGGGAGACACACGGCGGGUGCUAACGUCCGUCGUGGAGAGGGAAACAACCCAGACCGCCAGCUAAGGUCCCAAAGUAUUGCUAAGUGGGAAACGAUGUGGGAAGGCUCAGACAGCUAGGAUGUUGGCUUAGAAGCAGCCAUCAUUUAAAGAAAGCGUAAUAGCUCACUAGUCGAGUCGGCCUGCGCGGAAGAUGUAACGGGGCUAAGCAAUACACC
rnacentral:rRNA from 1 species